UAUCACAAAUGUAUGCAAUGAUUUGGUAAUGGAAAAAUUAAAACAUUCCAUACGCAGAUAUUCUACAAUAAAAAAACACAGUGAAACAUUUACAAAUUGUUCCAAAUAUUCGAUAUUAUUUAUAUUUUUAUCAGGCACUUUUGUAUACGUUACCCACAUAAAACGAAUUCUUACAGGUUUGAGUAAUAUACUGGAAUGGAUAAAUAUUUGGAGCGGAAUAUUCAGUGCACUAGGUGUCUGUACGAUAUAUAUUAGGUUUGGACAAAUUAUUAUAG